AACGAACGCUGGCGGCAUGCCUAACACAUGCAAGUCGAACGAGACCUUCGGGUCUAGUGGCGCACGGGUGCGUAACGCGUGGGAACCUGCCCUUAGGUUCGGAAUAACUCCCCGAAAGGGGUGCUAAUACCGGAUAAUGUCUUCGGACCAAAGAUUUAUCGCCUUUGGAUGGGCCCGCGUUGGAUUAGCUAGUUGGUAGGGUAAAAGCCUACCAAGGCGACGAUCCAUAGCUGGUCUGAGAGGAUGAUCAGCCACACUGGGACUGAGACACGGCCCAGACUCCUACGGGAGGCAGCAGUGCGGAAUGUUGGACAGUGGCCGAAAGCCUGAUCCACCAAUGCCGCUUGAAUGAUGAAGGCAUUAGGGUUGUAAAGCUCUUUUACCCGGGCUGAUCAUGACGGUACCGAAAGAGUAAGCUCCGGCUAACUCCGUG
rnacentral:rRNA from 1 species